GUUGGCUCUGCUGGCUUCAGGAGCUGCUCACUGCUGUGGCGCCCACCAUUUUCCCUGUGCCACGGCAGUGAGCAGCAAGCAGCUCCUGAAGCCAGCCAGAGCCAACU